GAUGAACGCUGGCGGCGUGCCUAAUACAUGCAAGUCGAGCGAACAGACGAGGAGCUUGCUCCUCUGACGUUAGCGGCGGACGGGUGAUUAACACGUGGAUAACCUACCUAUAAGACUGGGAUAACUUCGGGAAACCGGAGCUAAUACCGGAUAAUAUAUUGAACCGCAUGGUUCAAUAGUGAAAGACGGUUUUGCUGUCACUUAUAGAUGGAUCCGCGCCGCAUUAGCUAGUUGGUAAGGUAACGGCUUACCAAGGCGACGAUGCGUAGCCGACCUGAGAGGGUGAUCGGCCACACUGGAACUGAGACACGGUCCAGACUCCUACGGGAGGCAGCAGUAGGGAAUCUUCCGCAAUGGGCGAAAGCCUGACGGAGCAACGCCGCGUGAGUGAUGAAGGUCUUCGGAUCGUAAAACUGUGUUAUUAGGGAAGAACAAAUGUGUAAGUAACUAUGCACGUCUUGACGGUACCUAAUCAGAAAGCCACGGCUAACUACGUG
rnacentral:rRNA from 1 species